UACAGAGGAGCCAAGCGUUGUCCGGAUUGACUGGGCGUAAAGCGCACGCAGGCGGUCGCGCGCGUGGGGUGUGAAAUCUGGCCGCUUAACGGCCAGGCGCCAUCCCAUACGGCGCGACUGGAGUGAUGCAGAGGUCGGUGGAAUUGCCGGUGUAGUGGUGAAAUGCGUAGAUAUCGUAAGGAAGACCAGUGGCGAAGGCGGGUCUCUGGACAGUUCCUGACGCUGAGGCACGAAGGUCAGGGGAGCAAACGGG
rnacentral:rRNA from 1 species